AACCCUCGCCUCUAGUUGCCAGCGAUUCGGUUGGGCACUCUAGAGGGACUGCCGGCGACAAGUCGGAGGAAGGUGGGAUGAACGUCAAAUCAUCAUGCCCUUAUGACCUGGGCUACACACGUGCUACAAUGGGCGGUACAAAGGGCUGCGAACCCGCGAGGGGAGCGAAUCCCAAAAAAGCCGCUCUCAGUUCGGAUUGCAGGCUGCAACUCGCCUGCAUGAAGCCGGAAUCGCUAGUAAUCGCGGAUCAGCAUGCCGCGGUGAAUACGUUCCCGGGCCUU
rnacentral:rRNA from 1 species